CAGAACUCGUGGAUCGUGGAUGCCCGACAAGCAGCUCCAACCAAACCGAGUAGAGCCUUUGCCCUAAGGAUGAACCUAUGGCAUAAUGUAACAAUAAUAAUGGCCAUGAAUAUCGCCCAACAUGCAAUAAGGGAUGAAAGUGUCGAGGACAGCUAAUUAUCUUCAGAAUUGUGUUAUGUUAUAUAUGUGUAUGCAGCCCCUAUCUAGAGAUGUGUAGAGUUUUUGAAUCCCUAUAUGUAUUGCCUGUCUGUUCUGAAACCGACUUUGAGCAUGUGAUUUUGGCGUUGUCUACCAUCCCUUCUUUCCUGGAGCCCACUUCAGAUAUGCUCUGGCACAUGUCUUGUACUGUACAAGUUGUACUCUGUUUUGGCUUGGAUUCAAUGACAGCAAGGUUCAUCCCAUGGAUUUGAAGUGUCAUCAUAAUGUGCUGAGUGGGAAUUGAGCCUGCGACAUCACAACCACCAAUCCUCUAUCACAAUGAUAAACUUUUACAACUCCCCCCCUUGGACUUCAAUGUUGUCCAGAAUGUAAC
rnacentral:lncRNA from 1 species